CGAGUAUAUACAGUUGGGUGGAUUUUGGUUCAGUCACUGUUACGCUAGCUCAGAUGAGGACAAACAUGUAUCAUCUCUGCUGGGACAUCAGCAGUCUGGAAUAAUAUCUGUUUUGUAGCUAGAUAAUUCAGGCAGACCGUGAGUCAUCAUCAGAGGCAUCAAAAACUCUGCUCUGCUGAGUAUCCAUUCUACCUGCUGUUGGCCAAGAUACUUACCUGCAGCAUCUCAGCCAUAUCAGUCACGUUCUACCUGUACAGAUGAUAUGGUAUACAUAUAGAUGUAAGACCAACAGCAUCACUUCC
rnacentral:lncRNA from 1 species